GACGAACGCUGGCGGCGUGCUUAACACAUGCGAGUCGAACGCUGAACCCGCUUCGGUGGGGGAUGAGUGGCGAACGGGUGAGUAACACGUGGGCAACCUGCCCCCGGCUCUGGGAUAACUCCAAGAAAUUGGGGCUAAUACCGGAUGUGACCGCUGGCCGCAUGGUCUGGUGGUGGAAAGGGUUUCCGGCUGGGGAUGGGCCCGCGGCCUAUCAGCUUGUUGGUGGGGUAGUGGCCUACCAAGGCGACGACGGGUAGCCGGCCUGAGAGGGUGACCGGCCACACUGGGACUGAGACACGGCCCAGACUCCUACGGGAGGCAGCAGUGGGGAAUAUUGCGCAAUGGGCGGAAGCCUGACGCAGCGACGCCGCGUGGGGGAUGGCGGCCUUCGGGUUGUAAACCUCUUUCAGCAGGGACGAAGCGCAAGUGACGGUACCUGCAGAAGAAGCACCGGCCAACUACGUG
rnacentral:rRNA from 1 species